UACGUAGGGUGCAAGCGUUGUCCGGAAUUAUUGGGCGUAAAGAGCUCGUAGGCGGUUUGUUGCGUCGGCUGUGAAAUCCCGAGGCUCAACCUCGGGUCUGCAGUCGAUACGAGCAAACUAGAGUGUUGCAGGGGAGACUGGAAUUCCUGGUGUAGCGGUGAAAUGCGCAGAUAUCAGGAAGAAUAUCCGUGGCGAAGGCGGCUCUCUGGUACGGCACUGACGCUGAGACGCGAAAGCGUGGGGAGCGAACAGG
rnacentral:rRNA from 1 species